ACAUUUAUGAUUUUUCCUAUAACAAAUCCUGGUGAGGAUGCGGAGCAACGGGGACUCUCAUAUAUUGCUGGUGGGAAUGCAAAUUGGCACAGCCACUUUAGAAGACAGC